GCUGCCACAUCUUUUAUAGAUAGUUGUUUCUUUUUCAACUAUCUGAAGUUCGGAACUAUCUCUAUGUAAUGACGUAUUGACUCAUUGGUACCACAACAAUUUUUUUUUCUUUUUUAAAAACCUGGUAUCACAACAUUAUAAACCAUUUUUAUUUCACUAUUCUUUGAACAUUUUAUUUUCGAAUAAAAGAAAAAUUAAUAUUAUGCAAACUCAUAUUAUAAGUUGUUAAUACAUCUAGCAAAGAGUAGCGUUUUAACC
rnacentral:lncRNA from 1 species